rnacentral:rRNA from 1 species
UACGUAGGUGGCAAGUGUUGUCCGGAUUUACUGGGUGUAAAGGGCGUGUAGCCGGGCUGACAAGUCAGAUGUGAAAUCCGGGGGCUCAACCCCCGAACUGCGUUUGAAACUGUUGGUCUUGAGUAUCGGAGAGGCAGGCGGAAUUCCUAGUGUAGCGGUGAAAUGCGUAGAUAUUAGGAGGAACACCAGUGGCGAAGGCGGCCUGCUGGACGACAACUGACGGUGAGGCGCGAAAGCGUGGGGAGCAAACAGG